GAUGAACGCUGGCGGCGUGCCUAAUACAUGCAAGUCGAGCGAACAGAUAAGGCGCUUGCUCCUUUGACGUUAGCGGCGGACGGGUGAGUAACACGUGGGUAACCUACCUAUAAGACUGGAAUAACCCCGGGAAACCGGGGCUAAUGCCGGAUAACAUUUAGAACCGUAUGGUUGUAAAGUGAAAGAUGGUUUUGCUAUCACUUCUAGAUGGAUCCGCGCCGUAUUAGCUAGUUGGUAGGGUAACGGCUUACCACGGCAACGAGACGUAGCCGACCGGGCAGAGGGAUCGCCGACACGGGAAGGGGAACGGGGUCCAGAGGCCUGCGGGAGGGAGCAGUAGGGAACGGGACGCAAUGGGCGGAAGCCUGACGGAGCGACGCCGCGUGAGUGACGAAGGUCUUGGGAUCGUAAAAAUCUGUUAUGAGGGAAAAACAAAUGUGUAAGGAGAUGUGCAGGGCUUGACGGUAACGAAUCAGAAAGCCACGGCUAACUACGUG
rnacentral:rRNA from 1 species